GACGAACGCUGGCGGCGUGCCUAAUACAUGCAAGUAGAAUGCACAGUUUAUACCGUAGCUUGCUACACCAUAGACUGUGAGUUGCGAACGGGUGAGUAACGCGUAGGUAACCUGCCUGGUAGCGGGGGAUAACUAUUGGAAACGAUAGCUAAUACCGCAUAAUAUUAAUUAUUGCAUGAUAAUUAAUUGAAAGGUGCAAUUGCACCACUACCAGAUGGACCUGCGUUGUAUUAGCUAGUAGGUGAGGUAACGGCUCACCUAGGCGACGAUACAUAGCCGACCUGAGAGGGUGAUCGGCCACACUGGGACUGAGACACGGCCCAGACUCCUACGGGAGGCAGCAGUAGGGAAUCUUCGGCAAUGGACGAAAGUCUGACCGAGCAACGCCGCGUGAGUGAAGAAGGUUUUCGGAUCGUAAAGCUCUGUUGUAAGAGAAGAACGGGUGUGAGAGUGGAAAGUUCACACUGUGACGGUAUCUUACCAGAAAGGGACGGCUAACUACGUG
rnacentral:rRNA from 1 species